rnacentral:rRNA from 1 species
GACGAACGCUGGCGGCGUGCUUAACACAUGCAAGUCGAACGGAAAGGCCCUGCUUUUGUGGGGUGCUCGAGUGGCGAACGGGUGAGUAACACGUGAGUAACCUGCCCUUGACUUUGGGAUAACUUCAGGAAACUGGGGCUAAUACCGGAUAGGAGCUCCUGCUGCAUGGUGGGGGUUGGAAAGUUUCGGCGGUUGGGGAUGGACUCGCGGCUUAUCAGCUUGUUGGUGGGGUAGUGGCUUACCAAGGCUUUGACGGGUAGCCGGCCUGAGAGGGUGACCGGCCACAUUGGGACUGAGAUACGGCCCAGACUCCUACGGGAGGCAACAGUGGGGAAUAUUGCACAAUGGGCGGAAGCCUGAUGCAGAAACGCCGCGUGCGGGAUGACGGCCUUCGGGUUGUAAACCGCUUUCGCCUGUGACGAAGCGUGAGUGACGGUAAUGGGUAAAGAAGCACCGGCUAACUACGUG